GUACAUUUCAUCGAGACGAUGAUCAACAAGUUGCAUCCACUCCUUAACUAGGUACCAUAACCUUUAUAAGGACAAAAGAUAUAGAUUGAAAAACAAAGGAUAAGAAAAUUCUAAGAUCCAUACAACUAGUUACAAUAAGAUCCACACAUCUUCUCUUUGUAAGACAAAAUGAACAUAACUUCUAUCUGUAAGACCAAAUGAAAAAGACCUCCCAGUCGUUGUUGCUAAAUUUCUUGAUUAAAUUUCUCUUAUUCACGUUGUUUUUGCAGAUUUUUAUAACAAAAAAGUAGACUUAAUUACCAUUAUUUUAUAUAUACCUGUAAACUGAUGGACAUAAUACAUUUUACUCUUUUUUCAAACUUUUUUAAAGUUAAGUAUUACCCAUGUUCGAAUUCAUCUAUGUUUUCUGUUCAAGUGCAGGAGAAUGAGAAAGAUCAAAAUCGGAAAAAAAAUUGGAUAAUUGCAGCAAGUUUAGCCUGCAAAGACAAACAUUCCAUACAAACAAUGUAGGACUCCUACCUGGUUGAUGAAAUUACUAAGGAAAAUCUGCACGACAAUCAAAACACUUCAACAGGAGAAGUCUUGGUCCAUUAACACAAAACUUGUCACGAGCAGACAGGAGAAGGAGUAAGAUCAGAACCGAAAAAAAUGAAGAAUUGCAGCAGAUUAAGGUUGCAAAGAGAAACACUCCAUAAAACAAGAUCGAGCUGUAACAACGCGAGGAAGAAGCAGAUACCUUUAUCAAUGUCUUUGAGCUUAGGGGAGACAACAAAAAUACAAAGAAGAAUACACAUCUAUCCACAGCACAACAACAAGUCGAUAUGAAGAAUGGCCCACCUGUAAUUUUUUCUCAAGCAAAACUUUAUUGGAUUCUGUUUCAACCAGAUUGCAGCAACAACGUCAGGAAGAAGAAGACAACAUUAUCAAUAUGUCGUUGAUAUUAGGAGAUACAACAAUUGCACAAAGAAGAAUAUACAUCUAUUCGCAGCACAACAACAACUCAAUUAGAAGAAUGAAAACACCUGAAAUUUUGUCUCAAGCAAAGCUUUAAUUGAUAUUGUUUCAACCAGAUUGCAACAACAACAUGAGGAAGAAGAAGAAACCUUUAACAAUACGUAGUUGAGAUUAUGGGAGACAACAACAGCAUAAAGAAGAAUACACAUGUGAGUUGAGUAUAUAUGGGUUCACUGAUUGUUACAUAGAGGUGACUAUUGCACAACAAUAGCUCAAUCACAAGAAUGACACAACUGAAUAUUUUUUCAAGCAAAGCUUUAAUGGAUUUCAUUUCUUCCAGAUCGAGCAGUUACAACGCGAGGAAGAAGAAGAUACCUUUAUCAAUAUGUCUUUGACAUUAGGGGAGACAUAAAAACUAUGAAGAAUGAGUAAUCUGUAAUGUGCAGAUUCUUAGAAGAAGUUCAGAAGAAGAAGAAAACUCAUCUUUGCAUUAUACAAUCUGUUAAAUCUUUUCUACAUGUAACUAACAUGUUUAGUUAGUAUUUAUACAGGAAAGAGAAGAAUAUUUUGUAACUACUUUAACUGCCUAUUUGCUAACUACUCCUCUAAUUUCUCCUAUUUA